rnacentral:rRNA from 1 species
UACGUAGGUGGCAAGCGUUGUCCGGAUUUACUGGGCGUAAAGAGCGCGCAGGCGGUCGUUCAAGUCGCGUGUGAAAGCCCCCGGCUCAACUGGGGAGGGUCACGCGAUACUGAUCGACUCGAAGGCAGGAGAGGGUAGUGGAAUUCCCGGUGUAGUGGUGAAAUGCGUAGAUAUCGGGAGGAACACCAGUGGCGAAGGCGACAUACUGGGUCAUGACUGACGCUGAGGUGCGAAAGCGUGGGGAGCAAACAGG